CCAAUGUGAACGUUACCAAACUGUUGCCUCGGCGGGAUCUCUGCCCCGGGUGCGUCGCAGCCCCGGACCAAGGCGCCCGCCGGAGGACCAACCAAAACUCUUAUUGUAUACCCCCUCGCGGGUUUUUUACUAUCUGAGCCAUCUCGGCGCCCCUCGUGGGCGUUUCGAAAAUGAAUCAAAACUUUCAACAACGGAUCUCUUGGUUCUGGCAUCGAUGAAGAACGCAGCGAAAUGCGAUAAGUAAUGUGAAUUGCAGAAUUCAGUGAAUCAUCGAAUCUUUGAACGCACAUUGCGCCCGCCAGUAUUCUGGCGGGCAUGCCUGUCCGAGCGUCAUUUCAACCCUCGAACCCCUCCGGGGGGUCGGCGUUGGGGAUCGGCCCUUUACGGGGCCGGCCCCGAAAUACAGUGGCGGUCUCGCCGCAGCCUCUCCUGCGCAGUAGUUUGCACACUCGCAUCGGGAGCGCGGCGCGUCCACAGCCGUUAAACACCCCAAACUUCUGAAAUGUUGACCUCGGAUCAGGUAGGAAUACCCGCUGAACUUAAGCAUAUCAAUAAGCGGAG
rnacentral:rRNA from 1 species